GAGACUCUGUGCGCGUGCAUAUCAAUAAGCGGAGGAAAAGAAACUAACAAGGAUUCCCUUAGUAACGGCGAGUGAAGCGGGGAAGAGCUCAAAUUUGAAAUCUUCAAGGUUUUACCUUGACGAAUUGUAGUUUAAAGAAGUGUUUUCUGUUGGAGUUUUGGUAAAAGUUCUUUGGAAUAGGACAUCAUAGAGGGUGAGAAUCCCGCAUUUGACUAUUCUUUCUAGCUGUGUGAUACACUUUCAAAGAGUCGGAUUGUUUGGGAAUGCAGUCCAAAAUGGGUGGUAAAUUUCAUCUAAAGCUAAAUAUUGGCGAGAGACCGAUAGCGAACAAGUACCGUGAGGGAAAGAUGAAAAGAACUUUGAAAAGAGAGUUAAACAGUACGUGAAAUUGUCAAAAGGGAAGCGUUUCGACACCAGUGUUGUUUAGUUGAAAAUCAAUUCAAUAAUUUUUGAUUUCUGAGUAGUAUUGACUUCAUCAGCUUGCUGCUUUCUUUCUCAGAAAUUAUUGAAUGCACUUUUCAGUUAACAAGUCAACAUCAAUUUCUUUUGUUGUAAAAGGGUAAGAGGAAGGUGGCUUACGCUUCGGCGUCAAGUGUUUAUAGCCUCUUAUCUCUGCAAUCGGAGAGAUUGAGGUCUGCAGCGUAGAUCCUUCGGGGUUAGAUACAGUUUGUGCUAAGUUAUAGCCUUUUCAUAGACAACUUGUUGACUAUGAUCAGUACAUGUAGCUUACUCGCUUAUGCUAUUUUACCUACGCUUAGGAUGUUGAGUCGUAGAGCACGCAG
rnacentral:rRNA from 1 species